GCUUCGUCUCUCCUGGAGCAAACGCUUUCCUAUUAAUCUUUUCCUUUUAUGACCAGAAAUGUAUCAUUCAUAUACAAGUGAUUCAUCAGAAGAGUGCAGACGCCACAUAGAGCUACCAGCCAAAUGGCACACACUACGAACGCAACAGACACCAGGAAUACACUGAGAGACACUGAGCCUGAGGGAGAGAGACAAAGGCAGAGAAGAGAGAGACAGAGACAUAGAUUGACCAACAGAUACAGGAACACAGAAAGCCAGCUCUGUUGAAGCAGCGAGAAAAGCUAAAAUACUCUCCAGCUGGAAGGAACACAACCAACUGGAAAGAAGAAUGACGCCGGUCAGACCUUUUACAACUGCUAGGCCUCCGUCUGUGGACACACAAAAGUCUGACUUGGCUGGGUGUUAUCAGCAGGAGGACUUCAUGAUUUCAGUCACUAAGUCACUAGAAAAGUGAUUUUUUCCACAAACCAAGAUAAAAUAUUACGACCAGGUACAGGAUACCCAUGUAAUACCCAAGUUUAACAAGGCGAAUCAUGAUCGAUAAUGAUAAACAUGCAAGUGUGUGUGUUAUUGUUAUUUUUGUACUUUGCAUUCUGUUGCCAAAUGUACCAGUCCUAAAUAUUAUAACUUUAAAAUAAAGACUGGUAAAUGUCCUAUUGGGAAUAAGAUGCCCAAUCUUUUUUGUCAGUUUGGGCGACUUCAGUUUCUUUUUGGAAGCAUUCAGUUGGUUGUUGAAUAAGUAGAACCCAUUUACGCGUUUUUAACAUACAAACUUUAAGUAUCAGGAUAUCCUACCUGGAUAAAGAAAAACACAUGUUAAUUCAAGAUGCAGUACUUUCCAAUCAGGAUUCCAUCAGAUCGGCCAGACCACAUACGGAGAAGGCCUGGCUCAUACUGUGAUCAGACAGAAUCAGAAAGAUGCUGAAAGAUAAUUCCUCCUCCUCCUCUUAUCUCAAGCUACCUUGCAAAAAGCUAUAGACAACUUCUUCCACAUCAAAGGAAAAAUAAGACCUAAACUGAAAUAUGAGACCUAAUCACAGUGUGAGUUGAAUUUAAAUAAUGACAUGCUAAUAACUGGUGUAAAUGUGAAGAUCAGAUGUCAUAAUCCAACUACAGAUUGCAUCUUAAUAUCAGGUAGAAAUGGGGUCCUAGUUAAAUUAUAUUAUGGCUGUUGACCGGUUACUUUACCCCACUCAACCACUGACUUCAUCUCAAACACCACUUUCUGAUCUAUGUUUACCCAGUGUUAACACUUUCUAGAAUAAUUUCAACUCAGUAGGACGACAGUUUUGCAUCAUAGAGUGCGCCCAUUUCCACUGGUCCUUCACAAACAGAUUAAAGUGAGAUCCGUACACCUGGGGAACAGGUUAGGCAGAGCUGGAACAAAUGGAGCUCAGCAGCAUGUUUCUUGUCCUGUUUCAUCAUUCAGCUUUUGAAGUAUAUAUUUACAAUAAAUGCC